CACUAUUUUGCCUUGCUCGCCAGGCGGUCCUUGUAAACCCGGAUGUCCAGGUAAACCGGGUUUUCCGAUUGGUCCAGGUGGCCCAGGUAAUCCGGGUAAACCAGGAGAUCCCUGUGGACAGAUAAUUUCACAGCUAAGUCUUCUCUGAGGUAAUAAAGGGCUGCUAAGGCUCUUCUGCAAUUACGUUAAUUACAACCAUGGGAUCUUAAUGGAUUGCGAGGUUGUGUAAAAUAUAUGUAUAGACUUGCCAGUAAUUCCUCACAGGUCUCUCUCUCAGGUCUCGUAGGAUCGCAAUUUAAGACCAUCCAUUGUAUAUCGAUCUAGAAAUAUAUUUCCAAAAGGAAGCAAAUAUUAUAUUAAGAAUAAAAAGAAAAAGCAUUUGAAUAUUUAAAAUACUUUUUAUAUUCUGUAUUUCUGUAAUUUUAUAAAAUAAUAGCUUGUAAAAGAAAUUUACAAGUUUUUUUUCUUUAAAAAGAAAAAAAGUCCUAAAAAAGAAAAAGAAGAUAGAUAUAAUUUCCGCGCGAGUAUCUAUUACAUAUUUAAAUUUAUUGUUUUCAAAUAGAUAUAUAUCUUCAUAUUU